AGAUUUUUGCCCCAGAGGUUACAAAGGUUCAGUUAUAAAAGUUAGGCUCUUUAGGGAAGUCCAAGAGAAUCUCCCUCUGUAGGAGGUCCUGAGUAUAGGGCUGGCUCUUAAAGGCACGAGAGGACAAU